rnacentral:rRNA from 1 species
GCUUUAAAUGGGUGCUAAGAGAAUGGUUGAACAGAGAUUAACUUUUUUUUUCUUUUUAAUAGAAUUUAGUAUGAAAAUGCAAAAAUUUUUAUAUGAGUUUGGGACAAGAAGACCCUAUGAAUUUUAAUUUAAAAAAUUUAGGUAUUAAAUUUUAAAAAUUUUAGUAAUUUUUUAAAAUUGGUUGGGGUGACUUUUAAAGAAUUAAUAUCUUUAAAAUAUAAUUGAAGUUAGUUCCAACAUUGUUGAUUAAUUGAAAAAAAUACUCUAGGGAUAACAGCGUUAUUAUUUUGGAUAGUUCAUAUAGAUAAAAUAGAUUGCGACCUCGAUGUUGGAUUAAGAUACUUAUAUAAUGAAGAAGUUAUAUUAAGGAGUU